AUGACCAUGCAUAAUGGUUGUCAUCGUUUGUAAAGUUUUCUACACCAGACACAGUACGGAAUGGUUUUUAAAAGCCGAAGUAGCAGGCUUGUAGCUGUGAUCGUGCUUGGUACCAUGUUUGGAGGUGCAGCAGGAUUUUAUUUCCGUGAAAAUAUACAAAUAAAACAACAAGAAAAAAAUCUUGUGGAACUUGAAAAGAAUGUUGAGGAGAAGAAAUUAUCAAUAAAAGAGAUCAGAUCAAAGUUGGACCCUGACAAAUGAACUUGACUGAUUCCCAAAAAAAGGAAAAAAUACACUAUUUAAUAUCAUCAGAAAGUUGAACAGAGAAGAGAAAAUAUCCAAUAAAGUAUUGGGCAUACUUGUAUCUUUUCCCACACUAUUUGGAAUACAUUCAAUUUGCUGAAAAACUUGUGUAAACCAUGAUGAAGAUAAAUUAGAUAAAUUACAUUAUGUACUAUCAGCAGGCAAGGGUUCUCGUCUAUUCAUUCCAUACGACACAAGGUCUGAACAGAAAGGCAACAGAAAUAGAAAUGAGGGAAAUUGACAGGAAAAAUUUAACUUAAAAUUGCCCUCUUGAGAAUUGUGACACCACAAUCUGGUGGUAAAUAUAUGGACUCGUAUAAUGAUAGAUGGUCAGCAAGUCUAAAAGCAAAAUUAUUAACCAUAUUGCUAAAAGCCAGAAUAUUAAGUACAUCAUAUAAUAUAAAUAUAUAUUAAUGACAUGAUGAAUGAGUAGAGCAAAAAUAUUUGAACUGUGAAAUAGAAUCAAACUAGUUACUAACAAAUAGUCACUAUUUAGAUACUAAUAGUCGUUAUCACUGAGCCAGAACAGUUUAAUUAUGACACAACAAGGAAUACACAAGAAUACACAAUACAAA